AGUUGGGAUAGCUCAG
rnacentral:tRNA from 7 species